UUUUCGAGUAUUAUGUGCGUAUUUUGGCGUUAAAGAUUGGAGAUAAUCUAAUAUGAUAUGGGACGCUCUGCAGUAUACUAUAGAAUAACAGGUAACUUCACAGGAAGGCCAGGUUUCUGGACUCCGGGAAAAUUUAGUGUUGUCUGUGCAAAACAUUUUGAAAACAAAUACGUUUGCGGACGAAAGUUAAGUUAUAACGCUGUUCCCAGUCUCCAUCUUCCCCACCAUCCACAUCAACAGGAACAGCUAGAUAAUGGAGAGGACAUUCUUCUGAGUCAUGAACAGACUUCAACUGUUCCCUCUUGGAGUAAUUCUGCCCUCCCUCAAAGAAGUUCUGUUCUACCUCAGGGGAGUUCUUCUCUACCUCAGAUGAGUUCUGUUCUCCUACAGAGGAGUUCUGAUACACCUCAGAGUAAGAGCUACUCCUCCUGAGCCAGAGCUCAAACUUCAUGCCUUGAACGGGUUAAGCCUCACUGUGAGAUGCAUUUAAAGUAAGAUAUAUUAGAUUUAAACCAAGGAGAUGCAUUUUUUAGUUCAUUUUCAGCAUUGUUGAUUGAAAAGGUAAACUACUAUUCAAUAAAAACAGUCCUGUAUCAUCUGCAGAAAGACUUAACAGACCAUUUAUUGUAUUAAGCAUAUCAUUUGUAUACAAUACUAACAAAGCAGGACCCAACACUGAUCCUUGAGGUCAAGAAAUAUAUAUACCAGGAACCG